rnacentral:rRNA from 1 species
AGAAUCAACGCUGGCGGCGUGCCUAACACAUGCAAGUCGAACGAGAAAGUGGUAGCAAUACCAUGAGUAAAGUGGCGCACGGGUGAGUAACACGUGACUAACCUACCCUGGAGUGGGGGAUAACUGAGGGAAACCUUAGCUAAUACCGCAUAACACCUACGGGUCAAAGGAGCAAUUCGCUUCAGGAGGGGUCGCGGCAGAUUAGCUAGUUGGCGGGGUAAUGGCCCACCAAGGCAGUGAUCUGUA